ACUCCUACGGGAGGCAGCAGUGGGGAAUAUUGCACAAUGGGGGAAACCCUGAUGCAGCCAUGCCGCGUGUGUGAAGAAGGCCUUCGGGUUGUAAAGCACUUUCAGUAGGGAGGAAGGUAGUNUAGUUAACAACCUGCCAUUAUUUGACGUUACCUACAGAAGAAGCACCGGCUAACUCCGUGCCAGCAGCCGCGGUAAUACGGAGGGUGCGAGCGUUAAUCGGAAUUACUGGGCGUAAAGCGCAUGCAGGCGGCCUGUUAAGUCAGAUGUGAAAGCCCGGGGCUUAACCUGC
rnacentral:rRNA from 1 species